rnacentral:rRNA from 1 species
GACGAACGCUGGCGGCGUGCUUAACACAUGCAAGUCGAACGGUGAAAGGGAGCUUGCUCCCUGGAUCAGUGGCGAACGGGUGAGUAACACGUGGGCAACCUGCCCCAGACUUCGGGAUAACGCUUCGAAAGAGGUGCUAAUACCGGAUACGAACUCCUUGGGCAUCCUUGGAGUUGGAAAGUUUUUCGGUCUGGGAUGGGCCCGCGGCCUAUCAGCUUGUUGGUGAGGUAACGGCUCACCAAGGCGACGACGGGUAGCCGGCCUGAGAGGGCGACCGGCCACACUGGGACUGAGACACUGCCCAGACUCCUACGGGAGGCAGCAGUGGGGAAUAUUGCGCAAUGGGCGAAAGCCUGACGCAGCAACGCCGCGUGAGGGAUGACGGCCUUCGGGUUGUAAACCUCUUUCAGCAGGGAAGAAGCGAAAGUGACGGUACCUGCAGAAGAAGCACCGGCUAACUACGUGCCAGCAGCCGUCGUAA